rnacentral:rRNA from 1 species
GACGAACGCUGGCGGCGUGCCUAAUACAUGCAAGUAGAACGCUGAAGGAGGAGCUUGCUUCUCCGGAUGAGUUGCGAACGGGUGAGUAACGCGUAGGUAACCUGCCUGGUAGCGGGGGAUAACUAUUGGAAACGAUAGCUAAUACCGCAUAAGAGUAGAUGUCGCAUGACAUUUGCUUAAAAGGUGCAACUGCACCACUACCAGAUGGACCUGCGAUGUAUUAGCUAGUUGGUGAGGUAACGGCUCACCAAGGCAACGAUACAUAGCCGACCUGAGAGGGUGAUCGGCCACACUGGGACUGAGACACGGCCCAGACUCCUACGGGAGGCAGCAGUAGGGAAUCUUCGGCAAUGGACGGAAGUCUGACCGAGCAACGCCGCGUGAGGGAAGAAGGUUGUCGGAUCGUAAAGCUCGGUUGUAAGAGAAGAACUAGUGUGAGAGUGGAAAGUUCACACUGUGACGGUAUCUUACCAGAAAGGGACGGCUAACUACGUG